rnacentral:tRNA from 1 species
GGGGAGAUUCCAGAGCGGUCAAAUGGGGCAGACUGUAAAUCUGUUGGUGUACGCCUUCGGAGGUUCGAAUCCUCCUCUCCCCA